rnacentral:rRNA from 1 species
CCUACGGGAGGCAGCAGUAGGGAAUCUUGCGCAAUGGGCGAAAGCCUGACGCAGCCAUGCCGCGUGAAUGAUGAAGGUCUUAGGAUUGUAAAAUUCUUUCACCGGGGACGAUAAUGACGGUACCCGGAGAAGAAGCCCCGGCUAACUUCGUGCCAGCAGCCGCGGUAAUACGAAGGGGGCUAGCGUUGCUCGGAAUUACUGGGCGUAAAGGGCGCGUAGGCGGAUAGUUUAGUCAGAGGUAAAAGCCCAGGGCUCAACCUUGGAACUGCCUUUGAUACUGGCUAUCUUGAGUACGGGAGAGGUGUGUGGAACUCCGAGUGUAGAGGUGAAAUUCGUAGAUAUUCGGAAGAACACCAGUGGCGAAGGCGACACACUGGCCCGUUACUGACGCUGAGGCGCGAAAGCGUGGGGAGCAAACAGGAUUAGAUACCCUGGUAGUCCACGCCGUAAACGAUGAGUGCUAGUUGUCGGCAUGCAUGCAUGUCGGUGACGCAGCUAACGCAUUAAGCACUCCGCCUGGGGAGUACGGUCGCAAGAUUAAAACUUAAAUGAAUUGACGGCUGAGAGUGCGAGCGACACGAGGAGAGG